UGCGUAGGCGGAGCGGUAAGUCAGUGGUGAAAUCCUGCAGCUUAACUGUAGAAUUGCCAUUGAUACUGUCGCUCUUGAGUGCGCUUGACGUGGGCGGAAUGUGUCGUGUAGCGGUGAAAUGCUUAGAUAUGACACAGAACACCAAUUGCGAAGGCAGCCCACGAAAGCAUUACUGACGCUGAGGCACGAAAGCGUGGGGAUCAAACAGGAUUAGAUACCCUGGUAGUCC
rnacentral:rRNA from 1 species